rnacentral:lncRNA from 1 species
UAAUUAUGAUCUAAUCAACUAUGGCCAUGUUGGGUACAGGUAAUUGGGCUUUCCUGGUCCCAAGUUUUGAAGUUCAAGAAAAGCUGCAAUUAGUUCACAGUUUGUUCUGAUCUAGUAAAUGCCACUGAGCCCACUGGACCCAGAAUAGGUAGGUUUUGUGGUGCGUGGGUGGCAGGGGUGAGGAGACAGCAGGAACAGGAAAAUUCUAAAACUUGGAGUAAUUAUGAAUCAUGAUGGAGGUAGAGAGAAGAGAGACCUAAAAUUCCAAGUAG